GCCGCGCAUGCGGGGCUCACACGGCUGCAGCCGGCGCCGCUGCCACUCCCGGGAGCAUGAAGGACCGAACCCAGGAGCUCCGCACGGCCAAGGACAGCGAUGAUGAUGAUGAUGUCACUGUCACCGUGGACCGGGACGGCUUCAUGGAUGAGUUCUUUGAACAGGUGGAGGAGAUCCGUGGCUUCAUUGACAAGAUCUCAGAGAACGUGGAGGAGGUGAAACGGAAGCACAGCGCCAUCCUGGCCUCCCCCAACCCUGAUGAGAAGACGAAGGAGGAGCUGGAGGAGCUCAUGUCUGACAUAAAGAAGACCGCAAACAAAGUUCGCUCCAAGUUAAAGAGCAUCGAGCAGAGCAUCGAGCAGGAGGAAGGCCUCAACCGCUCAUCUGCGGACCUGAGGAUCCGAAAGACACAGCACUCCACGCUGUCCCGCAAGUUUGUGGAGGUCAUGUCCGAGUACAAUGCCACGCAGUCUGACUACCGUGAGCGCUGCAAGGGCCGCAUCCAGAGGCAACUGGAGAUCACUGGCCGGACCACGACCAGUGAGGAGCUGGAGGACAUGCUGGAGAGUGGAAACCCUGCCAUCUUUGCUUCUGGGAUCAUCAUGGACUCCAGCAUCUCCAAGCAGGCUCUGAGUGAGAUUGAGACGCGGCACAGUGAGAUCAUCAAGCUGGAGAACAGCAUCCGUGAACUGCACGACAUGUUCAUGGACAUGGCCAUGCUCGUGGAGAGCCAGGGUGCUUCCCCAGAGUCCUGCCCUGAGGGGGGCCCACUGGAGCUGAUGGGCAACGGCCCUGCAGGGGGAGAUGAUUGACAGGAUUGAGUACAACGUGGAACAUUCGGUGGACUAUGUGGAGAGGGCCGUGUCUGACACCAAGAAGGCCGUCAAGUACCAGAGCAAGGCACGCCGGAAGAAGAUCAUGAUCAUCAUCUGCUGUGUGGUCCUGGGCAUUGUCAUCGCCUCCACGUUUGGAGGCAUCUUCGGCUAGAAAGCACCCCACCCGCCACCCCACUCGGGACGGUCUGCCCUCAGGAGGCCCCCUGGCUGCUGCCGCCUUUUGGCUCGGAGCCCCUUCCUUCCCACCCCAUACUGCCCCUUUCUCUGCCGUAGGGCCCUCCAUACCCACCGUGCCCUGAGCCGUCGUGUGCAUGAUCUCUGUGACAGUGUGUGUCUGUACCGGGGAGCCAGCGGGGUGGGGCAGGUCCGCAGCAAGGACAGACUCAGGCCCUGGCCCAGGCCGCCUCACCCCCUCCAGGGAGCGCUGCCUGGGGCAGCCAUGCUCCCCUUCCCCCGCCUCCCGUUAAUUCCACUCCAGCCUGGGGUCUGCUCUGACCUUUGGCCUCUCCAGCUGUGCCCCAAAGCCACGCCCCCUAAGGGGUGGGGACCAGCUGGCCACAUGGUGCUGCUUUUCAGGUUAAGGAAGGGGUGGCCCUGAGAGACAGCCCAGCUCUAAGCCUCUAACAGCUGAUCACUGCCAGGGAGGCUCAGGGUGCCGUGGCCAGGUGGCUUCUGGCUUUGUCAAGACCAGGCUCCCUCCCCGUGUAGGGGCAGAGUCCAGCAGGUCUUGGCUGCCUCAUAUCCCCUUCCCACAUUCCUGCAGCCCCAGGAGCAACCCCUCUGGGCUAGGCCUGACCCCAGGUAACAUUCUACGAGAGGCUGUCUGGUGCCUGGUUUCCAACCACCCUUCGAGCUAGGGAGGCAGACCAGGCUUGGCGGGCCUCUGCCAUAGCCGAAGCCCACACCCUGGGCCAGCCCCCCUCCCCGGCGGGCCUCAGUCCGGUUCUCAAGCCAUCGUGUGUUGCAUGUUUGGGACAGUGGUCCCUGCUCUCUUGUGCUCUGGGAAGUCAGGCAUCACUUCGGGCCUGCAAUCAUGUCCUGCCCGUGCUGUCUCCCACUGACGUGCCACGGGGGUGUCUGGUGUCUGGGAUGCAGUAUUCAGCAGCCAGCCAGGGAGGAGUACCUCCCUCCUCCCCAUCUCGGGGCUUCUCAAGUCAGAAACACGCCCCCACCCGAGACCCCUCUUCAUCGAUAGGCUAGGAGUGUGCAUGCGAGUGCAUGCAGUAGGGGAUGGGGCCACGUCUGUGCCCCGCCUUCCCUCAGCUCUGCUCCUGCCCAGUGACUGUGACCACUGUCCGUGUUGCCUUCUUCAACAGCGACUUCCCUCCCCUCCUUCACCCCUUCACCAAAGGUCUUGGUACAACCAGCUGCCCAUUUUGUGAGAUUUUUAUGUAGAAUAAACAUUUGUAUCUGGA